UACAGAGGGGGCAAGCGUUAUUCGGAAUUAUUGGGCGUAAAGGGCGCGUAGGCGGCCAGGCAAGUGACGGGUGAAAUCCCUCGGCUCAACCGAGGAACUGCCUGUCAGACUGCUUGGCUUGAGACCGGGAGAGGUGAGUGGAAUUCCCAGUGUAGCGGUGAAAUGCGUAGAUAUUGGGAGGAACACCAGUGGCGAAGGCGGCUCACUGGACCGGUACUGACGCUGAGGCGCGAAAGCGUGGGGAGCAAACAGG
rnacentral:rRNA from 1 species